UGCCGCGGGAGUUGCGCGUGAGCGAGCUCGCCCGGCCGGGCCAUCAGCCGAGCUGAGGGGUCUGCAGGGCCUGUCCGGCCUCUCUCCAGCACGCUCCCGACCCUGCGGUUCCGAGUUCGUUCUAGAAGCCUGCGUAGUUCGGUCCGGUCGGUCGCUACACCGCGACCUCCGCCAGGGAGGUGACUGUGGAGUGAGCUCCCAGAAAAACCCCGUAGGCAGAUGGGUUUGGGCAGGCGUUUAUGUGCUGUCGGUUAGUAUGUUUUUUCUUCAUCCUCUCUGGAGAGUGGAUAGCAUCGUUUGGUAGUUACUGGUUGUUGAGCUUGUGGCUUCCAGGCCUUAAUUUUUUUAAUUGUCAACUGUCUACCCAGACAGAACUUCCUGCGGUGAUGACUAUAGUCCACAUCUUAGUAGGGCAGCCGCUGGCCACAUGUGGGUGCCGAGCCCUUAAAUUGAACGGAUUUUUCCAUUUCACUUAACGUAAAUGUAAAUAUCUGACUGGUGGCAACUGUGCACGACGUGGGUCUGGGUAGCACUCACCAAGUUUGCUUGGAACUGAGCGGGUUCCGGGAUGCCUCACUUCCAUGUUUUAAACCCUGGGAAAUCCUGAGCAAACCGCUCAACCUAAGGCCCUCUUUUAUUGGAUUGCACGCUCAGAGAGAGCUUAUGGACCCAUCUAGCAAAUACAGUGAUAACCGUGCAGGGCUGCGAAAAGUAUUUUCCCUCAUGACCUAAAAGACAUUUUUAAAAGACAAGAUCUCACUUAAGUGACCUUUGCUGGCCUGUAACCCACUAUGCAGACCUACUGUCCUCAAACUCACAGAGAUCCACCUACCUCUUCCUCACGAGUGCUGGAAUUAAAAGCAUGCACCACCACCAGGCUGGUCUGGGAAACCUUUUCCUAAAAGUGUCUGAUGAACGACUUUGGAGAAAGACUUCCUUCGCAGCUGUCUGUCACCCAGCGUUCCAGGUUGCGAUUAUUGCUUUUCCCGAUUCUCACUGUAAAUUUGGCUGGAAGAAGCUGUUGUCUACAUGCUACACCAUCCUGGAUUUUCUGGAUAAACUAAUGCUCAACCUUCAACAAGGUAUCGAGAUGUUUGAAGAUUAUAUUAUGUAACUUCCACUAAAUAUGUGAAACCAGAGGAAAAGCAAGGAUGUACCAUGAGAAGGUAGGCAAAGGUGAUCCGAGGUUCCGGUACCACGCCCGGACUAGUCUCGUCAGUGACACCCUUUAUACCUGUGGGCUUUCAAAAUCCAAGUUGGAGCAUGUUGCUCUUCAGCUUCUGAUCAUACUCUGGGCUACACAUCUCACUCAAAGUUAAAGGCAAAGGCUGUCUUAGAAGAAUCCAUGUAACUGCCCCUACUACUGCCCUCCAACCCAUGUAUCUGCCCCUUCUACUGUCCUCCAACCCAUGUAUCUGCCUUUCUACUGUCUCCCAACCCAUGUAACUGCCCCUUCUACUGCCCUCCAACCCAUGUAUCUG